UUCUCAGAAAUUGAUCUAAUAGAU
rnacentral:siRNA from 1 species